CCCGCCAUGCCUCUCGAUGAAGCACACUUUGGCGGGU
rfam:Halomonas subglaciescola strain ACAM 12 genome assembly, chromosome: I